GACGAACGCUGGCGGCGUGCUUAACACAUGCAAGUCGAACGGAAAGGCCCUGCUUUUGUGGGGUGCUCGAGUGGCGAACGGGUGAGUAACACGUGAGUAACCUGCCCUUGACUUUGGGAUAACUUCAGGAAACUGGGGCUAAUACCGGAUAGGAGCUCCUGCUGCAUGGUGGGGGUUGGAAAGUUUCGGCGGUUGGGGAUGGACUCGCGGCUUAUCAGCUUGUUGGUGGGGUAGUGGCUUACCAAGGCUUUGACGGGUAGCCGGCCUGAGAGGGUGACCGGCCACAUUGGGACUGAGAUACGGACCAGACUCCUACGGGAGGCAGCAGGGGGGAGUAUUGCACAAUGGGCGGAAGCCUGAGGCAGCAACGCCGCGUGCGGGAUGACGGCCUUCGGGUUGUAAACCGCUUUCGCCUGUGACGAAGCGUGAGUGACGGUAAUGGGUAAAGAAGCACCGGCUAACUACGUG
rnacentral:rRNA from 1 species